rnacentral:misc_RNA from 1 species
GAUGAAGAACGUAGUGAAAUGCGAUAAGUAAUGUGAAUUGCAGAAUUCAGUGAAUCAUCGAAUCUUUGAACGCACCUUGCGCUCCUUGGUAUUCCGAGGAGCAUGCCUGUUUGAGUGUCAUUAAUAUAUCAACCUCUUCAGCUUAUGCUUGUUGAGUGUUGGAUGGUGGGGGUUUGCUGGUGUCUUAUGAAGUCAGCUCCUCUGAAAUGCAUUAGCGGAACAAUUUGUUGACCGUUCAUUGGUGUGAUAAAAAUAUCUACGCUAUUGACGUCAGUCAGUUCAGCUUCUAACAGUCCAUUGACUUGGACAAAUUUUUCAUUAAUGUGACCUCAAAUCAGGUAGGACUACCCGCUGAACUUAAGCAUAUCAAUAGCGGAGGA